AUCUUUGUGAGAAUCAAUAGGUUGUAGAAAGUUUUCCAUUACUGAGGCAGACGAUCACUGUUGCUGUGUUUUGGAAUAUUGUAAUCUACAAGAGGAGACGGACAUUUGUGACUGUAAAAGAGAGGAUCGGGGAAGCUCCUUUGGACCACACAGAGAGCGGUUUUCCAUCCUGCUGGUGAGAUCUAGACUGUUGCUGCUGUUUCUGUUCCGGUGAUCUUCCUGCUGUGGUUUCUACGGUGAUCUGCCUGCUGCCAUUGCCAAGUUCGCCUUUUUUCAUAUAUCCCCUUGACCAUCACCAGGAUUCUGACUCCCCUCAUCCGCCCCAUCUACAACUUCCUGUAAGGGAGAUCACAUUCUCCGAAACAGUGCUGAUCCAGUUCCACUUUUCCCGAGGAGGCUGCGGUGUCAUCCAUUGUUUUGAAAGGUGUCACUUGACUGUCAACUCUCCAUCGCAGCCCUGCAUGGCAGUCAAGAAAAGAACCUCCUGAACCAUUCCUGCUUAACUCACCUCCACUGGACCUCGCACGUUUUUCCAUCUCAACAUCAAACAUAUUGAACGAUACUCUAAAAUGUAUAUAUAAAUCGCCCAGCCCUACGUCUGCCCAAACUUACUUUUCCUGACACAUUUAACAUUUAACUUGUACAUAAUUCAUCCUCAUACACUGGAGUAUGUCAUGAGUACAGAUGCCCAUCAAUACACUGUUGCAGGAUAGGUGAAUGACACCAAGAUAUGGCAGUUGAAGAAAAACAAAUGUACAGUAUGUGAUAACAGGACAUGCAAGUCAUCAAUUAUCAACAGUGUUAUUUUGGUGGUGGUUAAGUCUAGAUUGAUCAUACUAGUAACGUUAACUAGCAAGUUGUUCGUUAAGGGCUAACGGCUGGCUAACAUUACGGACAAAACCGAUUUGUUCCACGUAUUCUCUUGUGUGUAUCACGUAUCCAUCUCCUCUAGCUGUUGUGGUUGAUAUGCCGUAGGUCCUCUAGCUUUGACCACACACAAAAAUGGUGACAGCAAAGCACUGUGAUGUCAUGUGGUCCUUAUAAAUAUAUACCAGAAACUAUGCACAAAGGACUACUUGCACCCUAGUGCUGCUGAAUUUUUGAUGUUAUUUAAUAAAUCUCAUUUUUUUUAUAUCUGUCA